rnacentral:rRNA from 1 species
GGCGCAAGUCGCCUGUGGAGGAGCCUUCGUCCGAUUAGCUAGUUGGUGGGGGUAAAGGCCUACCAAGGCGACGAUCGGUAGCUGGUCUGAGAGGAUGAUCAGCCACACUGGGACUGAGACACGGCCCAGACUCCUACGGGAGGCAGCAGUGGGGAAUAUUGGACAAUGGGCGCAAGCCUGAUCCAGCAAUGCCGCGUGGAUGAAGAAGGUCUUCGGAUUGUAAAGUCCUUUCGACGGGGACGAUGAUGACGGUACCCGUAGAAGAAGCCCCGGCUAACUUCGUGCCAGCAGCCGCGGUAAUACGAAGGGGCUAGCGUUGCUCGGAAUGACUGGGCGUAAAGGGCGCGUAGGCGGUUUGGUUAGUUAGGCGUGAAAUUCCUGGGCUCAACCUGGGGACUGCGCUUAAUACAGCCAGGCUAGAGUGUGGAAGAGGGUCGUGGAAUUCCCAGUGUAGAGGUGAAAUUCGUAGAUAUUGGGAAGAACACCGGUGGC